rnacentral:rRNA from 1 species
AAAUUGAAGAGUUUGAUCAUGGCUCAGAUUGAACGCUGGCGGCAGGCUUAACACAUGCAAGUCGAACGGUAACAUUUCUAGCUUGCUAGAAGAUGACGAGUGGCGGACGGGUGAGUAAUGCUUGGGAAUAUGCCUUAUGGUGGGGGACAACAGUUGGAAACGACUGCUAAUACCGCAUAACAUCUCCGGAUCAAAGUGGGGGACCUUCGGGCCUCACGCCAUAAGAGUAGCCCAAGUGGGAUUAGCUAGUUGGUAAGGUAAUGGCUUACCAAGGCGACGAUCCCUAGCUGGUCUUAGAGGAUGACCAGCCACACUGGAACUGAGACACGGUCCAGACUCCUACGGGAGGCAGCAGUGGGGAAUAUUGCACAAUGGAGGAAACUCUGAUGCAGCCAUGCCGCGUGUGUGAAGAAGGCUUUCGGGUUGUAAAGCACUUUCAGCGAGGAGGAAAGGGCGAUGCUUAAUAGGUAUCGUCUGUGACGUUACUCGCAGAAGAAGCACCGGCUAACUCCGUGCCAGCAGCCGCGGUAAUACGGAGGGUGCGAGCGUUAAUCGGAAUUACUGGGCGUAAAGCGCGCGUAGGUGGUUAAUUAAGUCAGAUGUGAAAUCCCAGGGCUCAACCUUGGAACUGCAUUUGAAACUGGUUAACUAGAGUUUUGUAGAGGGUGGUAGAAUUUCAGGUGUAGCGGUGAAAUGCGUAGAGAUCUGAAGGAAUACCAGUGGCGAAGGCGGCCACCUGGACAAAGACUGAC